GCAGCGUGGGGCCGCCGUCAAAAGCUCGCUCUUCGGCCGCGACCGCGUCUUCAUCCGCCAUCAUCCUCAGGGGACAGCGGGGCUCAGCAGACUUUGACUGGGCCAUUCUGACAGUGGAGAAAAACUUGGAUCUAAGCCUGUGUGGAUCAUAUCUCUGGCAGUACGGGGCUCCUGUCCAGCUGGAAUGGGGGGAAUCUCCUCCCCAGUCCAGGUCUUACAGCUCCACCAUCGACUUCCCACGAACUGUGACCUCCCCAGAGCAUGAUGCUGCCACCACAUUUCACAGCAGGGAUGUCGCGCAUGGUCACUUAUAUUUUGAGAGAUUAAAUUACAUAAAACGGGAUCAGUUGGACAAAUAUAUUUGCUGUUCUUUAUUAUUAUUUUUUAUUUAAAAGAGGUUUAAUAAACACAGGAAUGCCAAACUUUUCACAUUUUUGUUGGAAAUUCAUGAAUUGUUUUCCUUCCACUUCGCAAUAACCCGCUGCUUAAUUUCAGUCUGAAAGCUAAAUUCUGUGGUUCACACGGCAAGAAAGGAUACUUUCUUUAAUCAAAGACGUUUGGUAAAACAUUAUGCCGAGUAUUCCGCCAAUCAGCUGCUAGUUUACGUAUUUAAAAAACGGGACGUGAUUCUCACUGGCUCUCCCUCAUCAGGUGUGGGCGCCUUUAAAGUGCUUCUGCUUUGCAUCUUGGCGAGGUUCAUUUUCAGGGCAUCUCAACAGUAAAUAAACCAGGUGUCAGAUGGAGAAAAAAAAAAUUUAUUGGAUGAACAAGUGCUGUUACCAAAAAAAAAAAAAAAAAAAAGGGGGUGAGGUGGGGCUUACAACGAGCUUACCAUGUCCAAUGUUCAGAACGGGGCUGACGUCAGCAUACAGACGCUUUUACUGGAGAAGUACCACACAAACACGUACGGUUUGACCUUUAAUCGAUGGAGGAGAAAGAUCAACAAGAGUCACGCUACAGAGGAGAAAUAAUACAGAGGGGGUAGGUACUGAAAAAACCAUCUGAAGACAAAUACACCACAUGUUCUUUACAAUGGAUUAUAUGUACAUAUUAAACUUGUUUUAGGCAAAACAAACAAACAAACAAAAAAAAAAAGCUCUUUUUUUUUUCUGAGAAAACAUACACCAGUGAAACGUGAUCCGCCCUUUGUUAGUCUCAUAGUUUCUGUCUGCAUAUGUUUUAUACAAAAUAGACUUUCAAACAAUAUUUGGGUAGUGCAAUUUCUUAGAUUCAAGCUGGUCGAUUACUUUCACAAACAGUUUGUGUAUGAAAAAAGCCCAAGUCCUAUCCUAUUCACAGUAUCACACAAUUUGACCAAAGACUUGUUUAAAAAAAAAAAAAAAGAAAAAAGAAAAAAAUGGGGUUGUGGGACCCGCUGAAGAGAGCUGUACAUUUGUCAUCUGAGAGCUCUGGAGUUUACACUGACAUUAUGUGUAAUCUGUCGCCUUUGGUCACCUUGUACUCUAACAUUAAAUAGGCCGUUUGUGUGAGUGAUUACAAUUUCCUGAAUAUUUUCCCCCAAAAAAGAAAAUCUGGCCUGCAGAGAUAAAAGUUAGAAGUGAGAUCCCCUGUAUGAAAGUAGCUUAUACUGUGUUAAACAGGAUGGAAAAAAAAAAAAA